UACGUAGGGUGCAAGCGUUGUCCGGAAUUCUUGGGCGUAAAGAGCUCGUAGGCGGUUUGUCACGUCGGAUGUGAAACCCUGAGGCUCAACCUCAGGCCUGCAUUCGAUACGGGCAGACUAGAAUUCGGCAGGGGAGACUGGAAUUCCUGGUGUAGCGGUGAAAUGCGUAGAUAUCGUAAGGAAGACCAGUGGCGAAGGCGGGUCUCUGGACAGUUCCUGACGCUGAGGCACGAAGGCCAGGGGAGCAAACGGG
rnacentral:rRNA from 1 species